UCACGUGUUGCACCUUCCCAUC
rnacentral:miRNA from 1 species